CCUACGGGGUGCAGCAGUGAGGAAUAUUGGUCAAUGGCCGAGAGGCUGAACCAGCCAAGUCGCGUGAGGGAAGAAUGUCCUAAGGAUUGUAAACCUCUUUUGUCGGGGAGCAAACAGGCUCUGCGGAGCCGUAUUGAGAGUACCCGAAGAAAAAGCAUCGGCGAACGCCGGGCCAGCAGCCGCGGUAAUACGGAGGAUGCGGGCUUUAUCCGGAUUUAGUGGGUUUAAAGGGUGCGCAGGGGGCGUGUCAAGCAAGGGGUAAAAUAGCGGGGCUCAACCCCGUCGAGCCGUUUGAACUGGCGCGCUUGAGUUCAGGCGAGGUAGGCGGAAUUCGUGGUGUAGCGGUGAAAUGCAUAGAUAUCACGAAGAACUCCGAUUGCGAAGGCAGCGUACCAGUCUGCGACUGACGCUCAGGCACGAAAGUGUGGGUAUCGAACAGGAUUAGAUACCCGAGUAGUC
rnacentral:rRNA from 1 species